UUGCUUUGGCAGCAUAUACACUAAAAAUUGGAAUGAAACAGAUCAGCAUGACCCCUGUGCAAGGAUGGCACACAAAUUCAUGAAGUGUUCCACAUUAAA
ensembl:snRNA U6 U6 spliceosomal RNA